UCUAAUUAUGCCCCCCUUCAAGAAGAGGGGGUAUAUUGCUUUGCUCAUGUCGGUCUGUCGGUCGGUCUGUCGGUCUGUCCGUCCACCAGGUGGUUGUCAGACGAUAACUCAAGAACGCUUGGGCCUAGGAUAAUGAAACUUCAUAGGUACAUUGAUCAUGACUCGCAGAUGACCCCUAUUGAUUUUGAGGUCACUAGGUCAAAGGUCAAGGUCACGGUGACCCGAAAUAGUAAAAUGGUUUCCAGAUGAUAACUCAAGAAUGCAUACGCCUAGGAUCAUGAAACUUCAUUGGUAGAUUGAUCAUGACUCGCAGAUGACCCCUAUUGAUUUUGAGGUCACUAGGUCAAAGGUCAAGGUCACGGUGACCCGAAAUAGUAAAAUGGUUUUCGGAUGAUAACUCAAAGAACGCAUAUACCAAAGAUCAUGAAACUUGAUAGGUAGAUUGAUCAUGACUCGCAGAUGACCCCUAUUGAUUUUGAGGUCACAAGGUCAAAGGUCAAGGUCACGGUGACCUGAAAUAGUAAAAUGGUGUCCGGAUGAUAACUCAAGAAUGCUUAUGGCUAGGAGCAUGAAACUUCAUAGGUACAUUGAUCAUGACUGGCA